rnacentral:rRNA from 1 species
CUAGCGACUUCAGAGUUUGAUCCUGGCUCAGGACGAACGCUGGCGGCGUGCUUAACACAUGCAAGUCGAACGGAGACUUGUGGAUAGAGGCUUCGGCCAAUUGAAACAAGUCUUAGUGGCGGACUGGUGAGUAACGCGUGAGGAACCUGCCUUUCAGAGGGGGACAACAGUUGGAAACGACUGCUAAUACCGCAUGACACAUUCGGAUCGCAUGGUCUGAAUGUCAAAGAUUUUAUCGCUGAAAGAUGGCCUCGCGUCUGAUUAGCUAGUUGGUGGAGUAAUGGCCUACCAAGGCGACGAUCAGUAGCCGGACUGAGAGGUUGACCGGCCACAUUGGGACUGAGAUACGGCCCAG